UGGGGAAUAUUGCGCAAUGGGCGAAAGCCUGACGCAGCGACGCCGCGUGGGGGAUGAAGGCCUUCGGGUUGUAAACCCCUUUCAGCAGGGACGAAGCGAGAGUGACGGUACCUGCAGAAGAAGCGCCGGCUAACUACGUGCCAGCAGCCGCGGUAACACGUAGGGCGCAAGCGUUGUCCGGAAUUAUUGGGCGUAAAGAGCUCGUAGGUGGUUUGUUACGUCUGCUGUGAAAACCUAGGGCUUAACCCUGGGCUUGCAGUGGAUACGGGCAGACUAGAGGUAGGUAGGGGAGAAUGGAAUUCCUGGUGUAGCGGUGAAAUGCGCAGAUAUCAGGAGGAACACCGGUGGCGAAGGCGGUUCUCUGGGCCUUACCUGACACUGAGGAGCGAAAGCGUGGGGAGCGAACAGG
rnacentral:rRNA from 1 species